UAUAUAUAUGGCCAUCAUCAUAUAUUGAAUGGGGGAAUGUGGAAGCAGGGAGCAAACGUGUGCCAGGGAUAACUGCUGAAUAUUUCACAGCAAUCUGUGACCCCACAAAAUGUCAGUCCUUCUGCUCCCACAUUUUAAAUUCAGAAUGGUAUUUGGGUAUUAAUUGGAGCCAAGCUAUAGACUCUCAUAAGAAAUGCAUUGUUAUUUAAAUACUUAUAGGAUUCAGAACAAUUCUAUUUUAAUUAUUUUUAGGAGUCUGUGACCACAUUGCUGUUUUCAAAUGAAACCGUUCAUAUCUGCUCAAUAUCAGGGGUAUAUUUUGUGGUUCACUUAUUGCAAGUUUUUUUUCAUCCCCUCCCAUUGAGGCAACACUCUACUGUCAGAUUGUGUCACCUGCAUGAUCCAUGGAAAUGUAUUUAUCUAGUGUAUGAAGCAUGAAGGAAAUAUUUAAAGUGGACCUAUCACACACCUUUUUAAGUUCUUAGUUGUAUUUUCAUUAUCUACUAUUAUAAGUUGUCAUGCUGUUACAUUGCUGCUAGAUGGAUGAGUGGAUGGAUGGAUGGAUGGAUGGAUGGAUAGACAUGUUUAUGCUGCAGCAGCAUUCAUAACCGAGUAGACGAUAUAAAAUUCUAAAAUGUGCAAUAUAUUCAAGAAAAUAUAAUAGUAUUAUCUUAACUAACUCAACACUAGUGCAAAGAACUAAAGAAACAUACAUAGUCAGUGUGUCAGUAAUUCAUGAUGAUCAUAGAAACUUUACACUAUGUACAGCUGGUCGCUGGGAUUAAACUUGUUUAGUCUGAGAAAAUUGACACUCAAACAAAACUUCAUCAGUGGUCAAGUGGUUUAAUGGGCUCUCUGUGGAACCUUCUCUCCCUGCUCGCCCACUCACAGGCUGCGUUACUGUUUCACAGCCAUUAAACGUGCAAAAGACCUGUAAAAUGUGACGGUCAGACAUUUACAACCGUCGUUAUUUAACUGAAUCCACAAUACUGAAUGCUACUACAUUCAGAACUGUGGACCCACAACCAAAGCUAGCUGCCGUUGUAGCGCAGCGUGGCAGCGUGACAGUCAGCUAAAUACACAGCAACUCAAAUAACAUAGAAAGGACUAAACUUACAUCUUCCGGAGCUUCGCUUUAAAGGUGUUACUGACCCUCCUUCUGUAUUACCGCCACAAAACACAUACAUGGCUUUGGGCCCUACAGAAAUAAGAACCUAUUUUGAUCAUCUAUUUUUUGCACAGGGUUUUCAGAUGGAGCAGAGUUUCUGUGCAGGAUUUGUGUGGUAGGUGGUGUUUUAUGCAUACGCAGCACUUUUAAAUGAGAGCGUUAUUAUGUUGUAUUAUGAAGGAAAUGGAAAUUAUCCGAAGGGAUUGAAAGUCCAGAUAUCUCAAGCUGACUUUUUUAGGGAAUGGCAUCAUUCCCAUCAUUGAUUGCGAUUUAUGAUACUUAACCUCUAUUAAAAUACAAACCUCACAAACAUUAACUGCAUGAAUGAGGUACAUUGCCAAACCCGAUCUCUCAGGUACCAACCGUCGCAGAGUUGCAGGAGUCGAUAAAGAUCAUGUAAAACCUGACAUCCGUCAUCAUCUUCCCUGAGAUGGAUUGAGAAUCAAAGGGUUUGUCCUUUGGAACAAACACUUCUCACUUCCACCGUCUAACUCGCCCUCCUCAAGUGCCUGCGUGGCGGCUCAGGCUCUGUCACUACGGCUGCGCUCUGUGCGCCUCGGGGGGAAUGACAGUCUAUUUAUGUGUUGCAGCUAAAACUUGAGCUCAUCUCCAUGUUAAUUGCUCCACUUGGGGCAGCACACGCUCUCCCCCGCCACGAUUACACUGUGCAGUCACGAUAAUUAUAACAAUCUUGGUGGUGAUGUUCGGCUGGUGCGGAGAAAACAGGUGAGGAGGAUGACAGAGGGUAAAUUACAGGGGGGAGGAAAAGAAAGGACCAUUUUAGCAUUCAAUUGCCGCCGGAAUAGGAACAUUCGUCAGAUUGGCCUCUGUUUCUAGGCACCGGAGCCCUGAGCCUUCACCAGUGAUUUAUAUGCCAGCCGUAUGGCCUCUCCUUAAAUUUGGAAUGUCCAGGACAGGAGAGCUAUAUAUAAAAAAUACUUUUAUUUUUAUUUAAAAUGUUGAAGAUUUAUAUUUUAAAAUUAGUCCACCAGGAAAGUCCAGUCACGAGCUGUCCGACAGCCGGGGUCCAUUUGCAGUCAAUCCGGCAGCAAUAAAUGUCACAGCACACUAGUCACCGCAAAGCAGAAACACGGCAUUACGUUCACCCAUACAUUCCCAUCCGGCUGACAAAUACACCCUCUUGGACUAGAUUCAUUCGAUGGCCCUGGAACUGGUGGGAAACACAUUUCUCCGGGCUCGGGCGCUGUGCUCUUCAUCAGAGGCUCGGCAGCCGCAGUCAUUGAGAGAAGCUGCUUCUUCGCUGCUUCCCUUUUAAAAGUUAGUUCAGGUUAGCGUGAAGUAGACGGUGGCUAAAAAUGGAACGGGGCUUUUCUUUGGUGCCUACUGACAGCUACUGAUGUGUUGGACGGGUGUUAAUCAUUAAUUAUACUUUUCAACCUUGUUUACUGAGCCUUUUAUUCGCUUUCAGCUUUCCCCAUCCUUACUUUUAAUCGAUUUCAUACUCACAGCGUGAAAGCACAUUACAGUGGUUUUUGAUGGCCAUCAAGAAACACCCCUGAAUUUCAACACUUUGUUGAAAAACCUUCCAAGAGUGAAGAGGAAAGAGAAACCACGGAUUCCAAGAAGCAUACGUCUACCGAAACAAUGGUCCUAAUGUCUCAGUGACUUCUUAUUUUGUGUUUGUUACUAUCGAGACAAGUAAUACCGUAAUUUCCGGAGUGCAGAGCGCACCUGAGUAUAAGCCGCACCACCUAAAUUUAGAAAGAAAGACAAAUGUGUACAUAUACAAGCCGUACCUGUCUGUAGGCCGCAGGUGUCCACUCUGUAACAUGAGGUAUUUACACAGAAGGAUGAUACACAGACAUUUUUUAUUUUUAAUCACUGGAAAUAUAUGUAUUUUUCCAAAAAUUGCCUGUAACACGGCACUAAACCUGCACUAACACGGCAGAAAAAACGGGAGUGGCGAUUCGGCUUUCAGUCGGAUCUGCACGGUGGAAACACCACGGCCGUCUGGUGUAAGUAAGUUCUUCAUGUUGCCGUCUCCAACAUCUCAAGUUUAAGCGCAGCCGCUCUGUUUCCUUCUGCGACAGACAGCUUAGUUGCCCGUAACUUAAAUGCUGCAACACAUGCAUUCCUACGUGUAUUUUCCAUGACAAUUGUUUGAAUAUGAUGCGCAAAAGGGUUGAUCGAAACACAACCACACGUCUUCCUCGGCGCAUUCUCUCGCUUUCACGUUUCUCGUUAGCCUGUAAAAGAUGAUACAUUAGCCGCACUGUUGUAUAAGCCGCAGGGUUCAAAACGUGGGGAAAAAAAUAGCGGCUUAUAGUUCGGAAUUUACGGUAGUUUGGAAUUGUAAGUAAGUAAGUAAGUAGCAAAAUAUGUUUGCCUAAAGAUAACUCCCUCAAGGGUUUACAUUUUAUUAGUGAAAAUUUAGGCUAAUUCAGAAGUGCAAGAACUGCAAUUAUUCUUCCAAAGAAAGUCAUUUCCAUUAGAACACAAUGUCGAAUCAAUGUGAACGUUUUAUGUAGAGCAUUUUGCCGCAGUUUGAUCAAAUAUUAUUAUUACUAUUUAUUUGUUUUAACACCUACAGUUUUAAUAGUACUUUAGAUUCAAAGCAAAAAUAUUGACCCUUUUGAGCAGAAAUAAUAGUAAUUUCAACGGCUGUUUGCACAUUGUUGGUUUAUCAGUUUCACACUUAAGUCCUACUGUAAAUCGUAUCAAAGACAAUUAAAAUCAUUGUAUGACUCAUUUUCCCUCUGAGGAGAUCAAGGCUUUAUUUUUAUCACUUUCUCUGGCGAACAAAGGAGGUUGUGUGACUCAUGCAUUCCGUAUUCGUUCGGGGCUCCUCCUCCGCCACAUCCAUCUGUUUAUCUUUACCCGUAAAGAAUUGUGGAUUCUGUGGAACAGAAAAAACAAUGACGGUUGGAAUGUGAACAAAGCCCCGUGUAAAGAAUAGCUCUGUUGGUUGGAUGCAAACAAAGGAAGUGCAGUUAUUUCCAGCUUCUUUCUUCAUUGCUUCACCCAGAAGCCAACAGACUCAUUUCCAUUAUGAUCUUCUUUGGCUCGCAGUACUUUGUCAUUGCCUUGCGGCGGGACCAGAUAUCUAUGUCCCGUUAAUACAUUUAAAUCUAAUUCGAUUUCAGACUCACACCUUGGGCAGAACCACAUUCUGGGAACACAGUUGAAGUAUACGUUUACACCACUAGAUGGGGGGAUGGUCCUAAGAAACAGAUACGAGUUUAAUGACCGCUAAUGCACCUCCAGUAGGAAUGUGUUGUGUUGUUCCGGCUCGUCUAUUUAAAACAAUGAUGGCUGUGGGGGAAAUGUAUUAUAUUGUACUUAUUAGAUAUAACUUAAGCACAGCUUAAAUCUGAACAUAUGCAGACCAGACCAUCCAAACUCACCACAUAAUGAAUGUUGUUGCAACGAAGGUAUUUUGUUUUGGCUGCUGGGGAAUCAUCCAGUUCUGCCCCCACUAACCCUCUAUCAUGGAGACCACAACAGAGUUGGGUUCUCAGCCUUGUGGGUUCUCGGCAGACGGAGGAGGAGAACAUCUACUCGGGGGGGCGGGUAUUACCUUCUUUACACUGGCUUAUAUAGUGUGACUGACUGACCGACCUUUGCUGUUUAUGCUCUACCUCCGUUUCAUUGGAUGCAAUAAUAUGUUUGCAUUACAUCUAGUUGACCUUAUUCUAUAGGAAGCUCAGAUUCAAAUCCUCUAUAAACGACAUCUUUCUAGCAUCUUUCCCCAGAUAGCUUGUUUCUAAUGGGAGCCUGGAGCAGCCGUCCCCCCACCUGCGGCUCCAGGGUCAAAACCAAAUUAAACAUGUAAAAACGUGCAAAAAAAAAAUUUGUUUUCACUAUACAGAAAUCACAUAUGUGAGUUUAGAUACUGUUUAACACAGAUACAAUCGAUGGUGCUUGUCAGUUAUGAUGAAUCCAAGUUUAACAUGGAGUAUUUUUGUACAAGAGCUUGACUAAACAAACAACAGAUGAACCAGACUCAAGUGAGAUAAAAAUAACUGCAUGGUGCCUCCCUCACCCCUAAGCUCUGGCUCACUGCCCUGAUAGAAGUGUAAACGGGGAAACAUGAGGAUAAAAGACAGAGAGCAGCACCCGGGCUUAUAUUUACUGACAAUGAAUCUAAUAUAACAAGAUGAAAUGUGGCUCCUAAUGUAUAUUUGGGAAAUUCAUCCUUUAUUUAUUCAUAUCUAGCUGAUCACAUCAGAUAUUUGUUAGCUGGAAAAAUGUUAUUGUUUGUAUGAAUCCGACUAUGACGAGGUUAUUAUUUAUAUACUGGCUGUGAUUAGCAGUGGGGAGAACUGAGUAAAUUGACGUGUGUGGGUUUCUUGAUGUUGUUGUUGUUGUUACUUUCCUGACACCAGGUGGAGCUCUCCGCUCGGCAGCCACGCUGAAGCCGCUCUGCACUUUUCCCAGAGGGUCAGCGGGUUGAAUCUCACUCCAAGCAUCUUACUUACAGGUGCACACGCAAAGCCACAGGGGAGCUAUUAAUAGAAAAGGUAACUCAAUGACACCGUUUGAGCAACUUCUCUCAAUGCUGAUACUGUAUGUGGGUGUGCAUGUAGAUGUUAUAACAAUACGACAGUUUUCAAACUAUAAUCCAAAGCCAUCUGGGUUUGACAACAGAUGACAUCACAGGGUGCCUGUACGGGUGUGAGUGGGCGGGCGAUGACAUGCAGUGUUGAGUACAUUUACCGGAUCUGAAAAGAGUUUUAGGAUUAGUGAAGAAGACGCUGCCAACAAAGAUGACUAACAGUGAGAACAAACAUCCAGCAAGUCAACGUGUCCCGUUGUUCAUGUAAAAUGUCGCUCAUGUCAAGCCCUUCUGUCCCUCGAAUUAGAGGGGUCAAAGGUUGCAGACAAAGGAUCCUGGUACACAAACUUGGUUUCUAAAAAGGUCUUUGGGUUCAAUCCUUCAAAGCGUCCUUUGGGCAAAGUAAUGCUGAAAAUCAAUUUAACGGCACUCAGCUGAGCUUUGAACGGCUUCUUGAAGAAGCUGAUCUCCCGAUAUGUGACAUAACUCCAUCUGGGACGAAUUAAAGACUCCUUGGCAACAAUAGCUUUUCUUACUCAAUAUCAAUGUUCAAAUGCCAAAAGCUGAGCACGAUUGUUUUGUGCUCUUUGGUUGUCCCUCACACGUCCCUUGAGUAUUACCCCCCUGGUGUAAUACUCACUGGUGCUUUCCAGAUGCACAAUCACAGGAUUGUGUCGGUACAACACAACAUCCAGCCUGCCGCUGCAGGUUAGCGCUUUGUGUGUGUUGGGGUGCGUCCUUUCUGGCCAGCUGACAGCUGAUCUGCUUAAAGGCUUUACUGUAGGUGCCAGGCGGCCGGGAUAAAGCGGCAGCGGUGGUGCUUCGCUCUCCCCUCGGACUUGAUCCACAGGGUUAAUCGGAACAGGUUUGAAACCAGUUCUUUGGCGGCGAGCCCAGUCCAGGCACAUGCAGGCACAGAUAGGUUAGUCACUGUUGUGGUUAUGCUGAAACAGCAUCUAAGGUCUCUCUGUGCAGCCUUAGAGUUCCUGCGUCCUCGGCCCACUUUUACACUGGCUUUCUUUGUUGAUUUGUAAUUAUUAAACAUAUUUUAAACCUAAAGUAUUUCAAUAAAUUUUUCAUUUUUUUUUUUAUAUAUAUGUGUAAUUAUUAUAUCUAAUAACAAAAUUAGAGUAUGAGAUGUUUUUGUUUCACAUAUAUUUAACUUUAACUUUAAAUUUCAUAAAUAUGAAUUCCAGUACCUUUUGCUUCUCUAAAGGAUUUAAUCUUCCUUUGACCAUAAAUGGCAGGUGGUUUGCUAUUGUAGCAACCCUUCCUAACACUCCAAAGUGCAUUUUUCCACUGUUUAUAUUUGGUUGAACGUAUUCCAAAAUCUGUAGAUGAGCCGGAACAACACUGCUCUUGCAAAACACGGCAGCACCGUAGUUGUGACAUUAAACAUCCAGGAUUAUCAAAAGAAUUCUUUUACUUUCUUUGCAUGAAAUAUGUGAUGAAUUCAAUAGUGUUUGUCUCCUCUCUCUCCGUCUUUUCUAUUAAAGCUGAAAGCAAAGAGAGACACUGGAAAGGCAGAUGCAGACACAGACACUCUCAUCAUGCAGCCCGCUUGUUUGCCAAAGUCUCCAUCUUCACUGCUGUACUGAGCCGACAUGAGGAGUCAGAUUAAGAGCUCUAAUCGCCCGCGUUGCAGCCUCAAUAACUACCGACUGCCUUCCUCCACUCUGAUUAUCAAAUUCAUAUUUAAUUAUAUUAUGGACCAAGAUGAAUACAUGUCCUCACAUCUGUUCCUCAGCACGGGACAACGUUAAUACAUUUUUAGUCCACUUUCUGCCACGAUAAUAAAACAAGCAGGUCAACAAGCAAACUUUAGCGUUUCAAAAUGUAUUUGUAAGAAGAUCACAUGACUGAUAGUACGGGAAAGAUGUCCCUUGUAAUGAUGACUCUAAGUGCCCCUUUAGCCGUGGAGCGUUUCAGCCUCUUUCAGCUCAUUAUUGUCUAAUUUUGUAAUUUUCUCAGCAUUGAAUUUAAUUAAAUUUGUCUUUUUAUUUUUUCCUAAACGUGAUGUUGGUUACGCAAGAAAUCCAAACCAUAGUCUUUUCCUUACUAUUGCAAAAACUGAUCUGAAUGCUGAAUGUUUUCUCUCAUAUAAUAAGGAGGUUUAAAUGAAUAGCGUUCACGCCUAUUAGAUGACAUUUUGAUCAGAAACCCAUGACCUGGUUAUCUUCCAUCUGGACCUCUUGGCAAUAAUAUCUUUUCUCACUCAUUCUGAGCACAAGUACAUAACCUUCAUCAUCUGCACUACGAGUCCUAAAUGACUAACAUCAAUAUUGAUGCAAAAAGCUGAGCACGGUUCUUUUGUGCUCUUUGGCUGUCCCGAAGAACAUUAACGCCUAUUAGAUGAGACUGUCAUGACAUUUUCAACAGAAACCCAUGACCUGGUUAUCUUGCAAAGUAUUUGCAAAAUAAAGUAAAUAUUUGAAUAUAAGACAUGUAUGCUCUCGAGAAGAUUCAUCCCCUAAAAAGCAUUGAUCGAGCCCAACAUUCGAAUCAUGGCUGAUGGCUUUGCUGAUACAAGAGGAUGGCGUUAUGAUGCCGUUAAGUCUAAUAUUUAGGAAGUGGGGAAAAAAAGAAAUUGCUGUACCUUUAGCUAGCACCUUUGUCAAUUGCAUGUUCUUUCUCUAGUAAUAGUAAGUAAUUAAUCAACCUCAGGACUGUGAUCAUGAAAUGCAAAGGGUUCAUCCUCGGGCCACCCAGAGAGCCGUUGUGUCUGUAAAGCCAACGGCGAAACGUGCAUCACCAAGUUUUAGAUGGCAGAGCAGAUACGAACUGAUUUUAUUGCCCACUCCUGAAGGAAAUGAAAUGAUGCGAAGGACAUCCCAAGCGAAACAAAGCGCAUUGUCCCUUUUGAAAAACACUGGUACGUCUAUUGCGUUGCAUGAACUAAUGCAAUGGCACGAGCAGCUGUUUAAGACAUCAGCGCUAAUGAAGAGCGUAGGCUCGUGACUGCAGCAGACAAACUACGUCUUGCUUGUCCCUCCGGCGUAGUGCCUGACGUUUGAACACUCAGAUAUGGAUCUACAACAGAGCAAUCCAGCCCUAUCAGUUUCCUUUUUCUUCAUCAAGUUCCUGUGGGAGGCUGAUGACGUCGGGAAAGUCUCUGCGCCUGGUAGCUGCCAUUGUUUGCCACUUUGGGACAGUGAAAAUAUGCAUUUGUCUGAGAGCAAUAUGCAGAAAGGUGUAGAAUGUAAACAAACAGACUCACUGGUUCGUCCACAUUGCUGCGUUCACACUUGACCCCCACUGCAGCUGCAGCCAAAGCAUGCAUCUCAUUUCCCUUUAUUGGGUUGACAAGCAGGUUUGAUGACAAUUGGCUGCAGAACAUAUAUUAGUUAGAGUUAAUUCAAUUUAUUUUUCACAUUUGAAAGUUUUAAUUUGUGUCCCUAUUUCAGAUUGACUGGCAAUUAGUCCUCUUGCCACACGCAUUUUUAUCUCCUGUGUGUGUGUGAGUUAUAAGCAUUAGAAGUCUGUGUUCUUGUUGACAGGAUGGUUUUGUACACAUAUUGUUUUAUUUCUGUUUGUUUAGUUUUAUUUUGAAAUCCUCGGCGUCCUGUGUUUUUUUAAUUCCUGUCCAUCAAUGUUCCCUCCUUCUUUCUGUGAUCAGCUGGGCUUCAUUAGUCCGGUGGUCCUCGCUGUGGCCCCUCAGGUUUUGUCUUCUACCAAUCAGCUGUCAGGCGGCCUUUGUGUCGUCCAACCUGUGUCUUAUUGUCUGAUUAGUUUAUUGUGUAUUUAUUGUCCUGUCUUUUGUCUGCUGGCUGUUGGUUAGUCUGCAAUGUCCCCUGUCGCUGCUGCUGGUGUGUUUUGUGUGGUGUUCUCCCACUCUGGUUUGCCUCUUUGGUAUUUCAUUUUUUUACCUCUCCUGCUCCUAUAAGUUUUGUUUUGGACAUUCCUGGUUCAUGAAAAGCCCCGUGUAUCAUUCCUCUGUUCCACCGGUUCUACCCGCACUUGGAUCCUCCGUAGACAGUCAAAGUCCGUAACCGGGAGUUCCAAGUGAGUCAUGAGACAAUGUUUUACAGAACACAAGGACACGUAACUGCUUUGGUACUUUAAUGCAUCUACCGUGCUGCCUAAAUAUUGUCACCAAAACCAUUAUGAGGGCAAUAAAAUCCUCCUUGAAAUGAGUAAUAACCACAAUUUCUGAUGCCAUGCCCCUUAAUGUAUUUUUUUCAUUUGGCAAAUAACCUUUUCUGGUUUUCAUUCCACAGUAAUUGAAAUGCAUCAGAGUGUGUGACUUUACUGUGUGACUUUAUUUUAAGAAGUUACCUUCUGAGGGUGAAUUGAUAUGUAGUGGAGAUAAUCAGGACCAAAACAACUAUUUGAAUCUACAAAUUAAUUCAUGAUUGUUUUCAUUGUAUCACAUCUACCAAUAUUGAGUCAUUUUUGUUCCCAAACAAUCUAACAGCAGCUAUUUAAAAUGCAUCAAUCUCUAGAUUAUUGCAACACACAAAUGAACUGCUGUUGCUUUGAGAGCUCUCCUAUGGUUGCCAGAGUCAUUUGAGUAAACAUUAUAUAUAUUCUUAACUAACAUUCUCAAUGUUGGUUGGUGUGAAUGCACAUAGAAAAAAAAUCUCACUUCCAAAUGAGUGUUUCAAUGAACGACCCGACUGCACCCAAGAUGUCACUGCCCUGUUACAUACUGCCCCAUUUGAACGUGAACGUACUGGUCAAACGUGCACUUUAAUCUGUGUUAUAACGCUGGGGCUGUGCGCAGUAUCUAGUGAGUGCACCCUCGGCGCUCAUGAGGGUGUUAUCGUGAAAACACUGCUGAGCUGGUACGAUGCAUUACAUCACCAAUUUAUUGCACUUCCUGUGUUCGGCUGGCAGCCCCGUCAUGGUGUUUCCCUUCCUUUCUCCCAACAUGUGCUCAGACAUGCUCGAGCUAGUGGUUUGUUUCCUCUUUAUCUCUGGUGAGAUGAAGCUACUAAACUAUGGAAAUGAUAUCGGUGGGAUAGCUGGUAGUUUACACCGAGCUCCAGCGAGGAAUCCGGUUACCCUGCUGGCAACGAACAGGCUGUACUUGUUUGUAUACACGAGGUUUUUUCACAAUGUAGCGUGGUUUCAAAUUUGUACAAACUGAUGCCAAAGCCCCAAAAUAAGCAAACAUACACAUAUAUAUAUAUAACCAAGAAUUGACAUAUAAAUAGGAGCUGGGGCCGGCCAUUGUUUCAGGCCGGCUUUUCCUCCUUUUUUCUGGGCCGCGGAUCAGCUGCACCUGCGGGGCAAGAGACAAGAGAAGAGGGGCGGAGGUGUAGGAGGACAGGGGUAAGGGGGGGGGGUUGGCAGACUGUACAGGACAAAGGGAGUCAGGGGCAGAACAAUGGUAAGGCCUUGUGGUGGAACUGGAGCGAGACAGCAUGUCUGCAGGGCCCCCGGCCGCCCAGCGCCACACAGGAAGGGGCUUCUCUCCAGAGCUGCCUAAUACGAACGCGCACACAAAUACUUACACAACAUACAAACACACACCGAUAGAGACAAAUGUGAACAAUAGAGCCGCUCCACCCCCCGCCGCCUCCAUCCUGACCGAGCCCUGGACAUGACUCUUCUGUAACUCCAGGGACUCAUCUCACGAGAACUCAGAGAACAGACCGUCCUGUCUGGGAGACGGCUCCAAAGGGCCGAGGUUACUAAAGGUGAGAGUGUUUCAGAGGCGGCUCCGCCCUGUGGAGAUACGCAGCUGCACAGCCCCGCGGUGAUCAGCACAUUAUUCAAAGGCCCCACUAUCAAAAGUUCACUCACUAUUUAGUCAGACCGAGAGAGGGAAAAAAAAGAGAAGGCAAAGUGAUGUCUAUUUGCUGCUGUACAUUAAGUCAACUGCAUGACAGAAUUACACAAUGUGGAGCUGCAGAGGAAGAGCCUCCUGACACAAGUCGUCUGCAGGCCGGCCCGCCGAGCUUCGUCUACGCUGUCACGUUGUUAGUUUACACAUUUAUAGGCCCUCUUGUACUUGCAAUCACUUUGAUCGCCUUCCACCAGCAGCUCUGCAGACGUCUCAAUCGGUGUUGUGACAGCGCUUUGAGCAAUGUGCCAGCCCCCCCUGAGUUGGAGUUUACACAUUCUGACAGACUUGUUUCAGUUUCAGUUGAUUUGUCAGUUACGUGCCCCUUCUUCAUCUCUUUCCUCCGUCCAAACAAAGAUUCAUCUGGACUCACAGUGUGAUGCAAGCGUGUCGGCUCACUGUGUUUGUCCAACACGGGUUGGAAGUUGGUCUUAACAUCGAGUACAGUGAAAUAAUGGGAGGUCAUGUCCAGUUUUAAGGGGAAAUGAUUUAAUCUUCUAACCCGACCACAGAGACGUUUCUUCUUUUCCCUGUGACAAGUCACAGAAACAUUUUCUACGCAAUUUUCUUGAGUCAUCGUUGGCCUUCAGCCACGUUUGUCAAAAAAGAAAAGCGGCCCGAGCUCUCCGUCUCCUCUGUUCUGUUGAAAAUCGCCACGAUACAAUUGGAGAAUGCAAGUAUGCAAAGUAGCGUAUACCUAUGGAUGCCUUACAUUGCAUCAAACGCGUGACAGGGUUACACCAUUCCGCACUGGUGAGCGGUGCUUCCUGACAGAUGGCAGCUUCGCCCUUUCUGAGCCUCGGGCCUCCCGGUGGGUGCCGUCCAGGGGGCAGCGGUCACCUCGCUGACGCAAGGACAAGAAGGCACAAUGCACUGACUCGUUCUCCAAACAAUAGAGGAAUACCUCGGAGUCAGUGCUCAACUCUCCGAAGCAAAUAACAUCUGCGCAAAGACCACCACAUGCCAACGUGCCGACGUUUGAGGAAUGCUCAGAUUCUGUGGAAUGUGUUUCUGUUAUACUUCCACCAUGAGCUAAUCCGGAUGAUGCCACCAAACACUUGUGGGGGGGUCCUGUGGGACUCGCUGUGAGUCAGACAGGCCGGCGCUUCAAAGACAAACCCUCACAGUCAGUGGCCCGGGCUUUUUCCUGCAUUCUUUUUCCUGCAUUCUUCUUUUCCGCGCACCGAUGACCCUCUUUCCUGUAUGGAUGUUACAUCACCGUGACCCCUUGACCUCAGAUCUGCCUCUCUCAAGCAGCUGCUUUUGAAAGUUUAGUGGAGAAGAUGUGGUUGUCAUUCAGAUGACGAAAGCAUUAUUAGGGAUGUGACUGUGACACACAGAAAGUCGUUAACCUUUGAUCCAAGCCGCUCGCGUUUGUGUACCAGGAACCAGUUACGGACGAUUAACGAGAUUUAUUUAAAUGAGGCUCUGCGAAUGCUCCGUUGAAUGGAUUCUAGCGGAAAAACAGAACGUUUUCUGUUCUUUCUUUCGAGAGCUUAACUCUGGAAACACAAUUCUGCAGUAAAAAAAACUCAAUAACGUGAAAAACAACACACACAAAUGAUUUCUUUCCGUCACUGUAUUGCAAAAUGGGACGAUUUAUAACUUUUAACUCCCGAAACACAUUCAUGGACAAGCAAUCUGAUCUGAUCACUAUCAAAACUGACUUGAAACCAGCUGACUUGGAUGGAUUUGACUAGUUUUCCUUGGAAAAUGAAGUUCACUUCACUAUACGCCCCAAAGCUGCCAUUUGUCACUUUAAUCUCUCAUACCAUGUUUCUCCACGAGGAACCAUGAAACUGGAGAACUCCUCAAGUAACAGCAGAUAUUCUACUUUUAUGUAGUUUUCAUCAACGACUUUGGUUUCCAUCAAUUCCUAAACGCGCCAUGUCUCACUUUUAGCUCCCAAAAGGAUGAAAAAAUAAAAUACGGAUAAUAUGAAAUAACAAGUUUAAUGACGGGGUGACGAUGUCGUGUACUUUGCGUGAACAACGCUGGUUCCCAUCGGCGUACUACAGCCACCGCGUCUCCCUUUAAGCUCCAAAAACACGCUGCAGCGCGGCCAGUUAGUUAUGUGACAGAACUCGCGCUAUAUGCGGUUCUCUUCAAGUGGACAGGACAUUUUUCCACGUGUACAUUUCAUAAAUAACGGCGGUUCACAUCUAUCAAAGCCUAAUCUCCCAUUUCUCACUUUCAGCUCCCAAAACCACCAGAAACCAGGUAGUUGUUGUACCGGACGGAUGAGCAGUUUCCAAAGCGUGCUGUCACUCUCUCUCUCUCUCUCUCUCUCCUUUGCAUCCCUCCCUGCUGCAUUUCUCUGGAAAGACGGCGCAGUCGGCUCGAUUUGUUAAAAAAUAACAGACCAGAACCAAAAGCAGCCUUUUGUUAAUGUGCGACAGGCCGAGCGCGUUGCAGCCCACGCGGUUUCAUCAAAGAGGACGCUGACUCGUAUCCAGGGCUGUUGAUUUUACGGCGGGAUCUUCCAGCCAAAGGCUGACUAAUCCUAAGCCUCUGCACAGCUCCUGCUUAGUUCCUCAUCACAGCCCUCGGUUUGAACCGGUUCGCGCUGGAAUCGAGUUGACUGCCACUCCCUGUGCGGUCGCCACUCAUCCAGCUGCCUUUGUCUUUCUCUUUCUCUACCGAACCCCCCCGGCGGCAGCGUUUAUGAGGAGAGAAACAAUUAACCUUUUGAAGCACGCACCUUUUAUUAUAUUCUCAAUCUAAUGAUUGUGGCGUACUCCUGCCCGCACUCCACUCCACUCCACUCCACACACAGACAGACAGACAGACAGACAGACAGACAGACAGACCUCCACCCUGUGUCUCCCUCGCUCAUUGGUUACUGUCCUCCAGGCUGGAGGGCGGCUGUCUGCCACAGUGUCUGUCCACAUCAAAGCCUCCACUGUAUGCGAGGCCAAUGAAAGGCAGGAAGAGGGUGGGAGAGGACGGGUCAACGUAGCUGCCAGCACCGCAAGGGCAGCCAAGACAAUCGCCUUAAAUAUUUAGCUUUUCUUCCUAUUAACAAUUAGAUAGCCGUGGGGGGGGGCAAUAAAAGGGGCUGCCUGGUGUGAGAUACACGAGCCAAACAAAAGGGACAGCUGACAGAUAAAAGGGGCCAAAAUAGACCCGUGAUUGACAAACCUGAUAAAGUGGUAAAUCCAACUGUGGGGGAACUGUAACCCGUUUGGCAUAAACUGAAGAUUAUUAUCCAAAUAAAACUUAAAAUGUUAAAUUUAACUAUUAAAAAAUGUUUUCUUUCAAGCAACAACUUUCACAUUCUUGGAAACACGCGUAUUUGCUUUCCUUCGUAAGGUGAGAAGGUUGGUACCACUCUUAAGGCUGGGAAGGCCUUCCUACCUCCUCUUUACAAAUGCUCUGGGAGCAGCAGUUUAAAGACGCAAUUUAUAUAAUCUCGGGCUCUGCCGUCGCCCCAGAAACACUGCUGUAACUAGUCCCAGGAGAUUAGCCACCUGAGAUUUACCCGCCUUGGCCUGACUGAUACCGGAGCUUCCCAUAUCUAAAAACAUGGGGGCACGCAGUGCCCAAAUAAAGAUGAUGUAACGCAUGCACAACACCCUGCAGGGAACUGGUUUGAGCCUGUACACGGAUCGAAUAUUAAAGCAGUCAGCAUCCACCCAAGUGAUGUGUGUGUCUACCUCUGCGCCCUGAUGCGCACCCAGCCUCCGAUGAGACACCACCAUCACCUCCACGGCGGUUCACAAUGAUGAAGGGAGCGUUUAUGCUCAUUUUGAGGGGGGGAGAAUCAACGGGUGAGGCAGAGAAGCCUCCAACAGGCUACACGGGCUCUUAUCUCGAGAGCGCGGAUGAUUAAAAGGACUCCAGUACAAACAUGUUGUGAGGCGAAAGCCAUCCAGCCCCCACCCUCGCAGCCCAAACAGGGCUAAACUGGUUUGCACUGGUCUGGUGAAGCACACACAAUGCGGUGAGGGAAACCCAAUGAAAGAUUAACCAAGUUCUCUUUCAUGAGUAAGUGUAUUCCCUAAUAAUACUCUUAUUGCAUAACAAUAUUCCCACAUAUGUGCUCAUAAUAAGGCUAUUUUAUUUAUU
ensembl:lncRNA